UGGCCUGAGUCCAAAGUAUAGUUUCUAAGUUAUAGGUUAGUGGGGGUUUUAAUAGAAAAAAUAGGCCAUUUGAAAAAAAGGAAAGGGAGGCUCUUUGAUCCAUAAGAAAAAAGUCAAAAAUCAGUAUCAACUUUAUUAGGCUCAAGAACAUCUUCACAAAAUUUAAGUUCAUUAGACUCUUCGCUGAUGUCACGCAAUGUCAGUGAGAGAGAAAAAGGCUAAAUGGAUACUGUCACCAAUCUUUUUGUGUAGUGACAACAGCAAUCCUGCAGAUUUUCUUUACAAUCUGCACACUGAAAGCGAAGCCUUGGCAGCGAGGAAGGAGGCUGGCUGGGGCCCUGGCAGGCGGGGAGGAGCCUUGGUCUGCUUCGUCAGAGGGAGUUUCCUGGUUCAGAGCCUCUUCUGGCUCUCAGGCCCCGGGACUGCUCGGGCCAGCUUAGCCUAGCGGUUCCUUCGCUUUCUCUGCAAGAAACCACUUCGAUGUUCGAUGUUCAGGUCCCGCGGGCGCUGCCUGGUCUUUUGAUUUUCCUUUUAAAAUUAUUUAAAUACUUGAUUUUUUAAAUACGUUUGCUUACGUUACAUGUUUACCUAGCCAAAGGUUUGUAAUGUUUGUCUUCCAUGAAAACACAAGAUGUCAGUAGCAUGGCCCUGUGUUGCAGUUUCCCCUUUUCAUGACCAGAGGAAAUGAUUUGGGCUGAGGGGAAAAAUUGGUACCAUCGCCCCCAAAUAUUUUUCUCAUCUAUUAGCAAAAGUGAAGCCAGACACCUCUAUUAUCUGCCAGUCAUGCCGACCACAUGACCUUGGAGGUGUCUACAGACAACGCCGGAUCUUCGGCUUAGAAAUGGAGAUGAGCACCGACCCCCAGCGUCAGACAUGACUGGACUUAACGUCAGGGGAAAUCUUUACUUUUACCUUUAUAGUUGUAUAGAUAAAUAUACAUUUGCCUUUUAGAAUUGCCCUGGGGUUCUCAAUAAUCCAACUUUAUAUACAUAUUUAUUUUUUUCUUUUCGUAAAUAAUCUAUCAGUGGUUUCCAAUCCGUUCUAUUAAUUGAUAAUCUAUCCUGGGCCAUUUUUUGUGUAAGGGUGUCCAUGUUCACAAUGUCCAAUAUUUUAGAGAUCCAUUGUUCCGUAUUGGGAGUUUCCUCAAUUUUCCAUCUCUGUGCCAAUAUAAUUCUAGCCGCAGUUGUAAAAUAAAAUAUAAGUUUAUCUGUG